rnacentral:rRNA from 1 species
AACGAACGCUGGCGGCAUGCCUAACACAUGCAAGUCGAACGAGACCUUCGGGUCUAGUGGCGCACGGGGGCGUAACGCGUGGGAACCUGCCCUUAGGUUCGGAAUAACUCCCCGAAAGGGGUGCUAAUACCGGACAAUGUCUUCUGCCCAAAGAUUUAUCGCCUUUGGAUGGGCCCUCGUUGGAUUAGCUAGUUGGUAGGGUAAAAGCCUACCAAGGCGACGAUCCAUAGCUGGUCUGAGAGGCUGAUCAGCCACACUGGGACUGAGACACGGCCCAGACUCCUACGGGAGGCAGCAGUGGGGAAUGUUGGACAAUGGGCGAAAGCCUGAUCCAGCAAUGCCGCGUGAGUGAUGAAGGCCUUAGGGUUGUAAAGCUCUUUUACCCGGGCUGAUAAUGACAGUACCGGGAGAAUAAGCUCCGGCUAACUCCGUG